rnacentral:lncRNA from 1 species
AGCAGAGCUGAAUCACUACCUUUCCUGCAUACUCUAAACUGUUGCUUGCGAAAGAGGAACUGGGGACUUCGACUAAUACAGGCUGCUUCCAUUCAAAUGUUCCAGAGGGCAGACACACAUCCAAACAGACUUCUCUUUGCUUUUCAGAGCUUAUAAGGAGCAGGCAUCUGAAGCUCUAUUCCAGAGAUUCUCCUGAACAAGUUACCUGUUGGUGCAAGCUUCAAAAAGGAUACUUAAGUGACCAGUCCUAUUCAUACUGUGAGCCAGGAGAGAUAUGUGGUGUAAAAAGAGACAUUUUCCCCAAUGUUUGCUGACCAGAAGGAAUUGAGAAGGUAUGCCUAUUCCGAAGAAAUAAAUGUGUCCUUCAUCACUGGUAAAGACAGAACCUUCUUUUUAUUGGCAAAAACAUUCCGCCAUGUAAUAGGGUCAACUAUUUACUCCUGAAGUCUUCCAAAAUGAUUUAACUUGGCAUUCUAAACAUGAACUUUGAAUACGGGUGGCAUUUUUUUUUUAAAUAGCAAUUCUUGGGUCCCAUCCCAGACCAAUAAAGUCUGAAUCUCUACAGUGAUGCCCAGGCCCCUACUGUGGUGAUUAUGAUUCAGGAAAUCUAGGUUGGGACCCAGGGUCUGUAUAUUAAUAAAUACCCCCAAGUAAAUCUUAUGAUCAGUUGGCUUAGAAAACAUUGUUACAUUCUAGAUUAGUUAUUAGCUGUUGUCUAGUGAUCUGAUUUUUUCUUUAACCUUUUAAAAGCUAUUUUCCACACAGAAGAAGAAGCAUUCUAAAACUAGUUUGUAUAUAGCAAACCAUUUUGCAGUUUAUCAAUUUGUUUUUUUCAAAAUAAAUUGCCAUUUGUUUUUCUUAGAGAUAACUGACUAUUUUAUUUUUGUUUUUGAUUUUGAGGAAAAUCAAUAUCUGUUGAAGAAUCUAAAGAGCCAAAUCUUCUGAGCCUGGGCCUACUGCUGUCAGCAGCUCUGAGACCUCCCUCAUCUGAGAAUUACCAGGUCUGACAACACUUUCCCUCCAGCCUGCAGGGAAGGUCAACAAAGCUACAGAAAACUCUCGUUCUCUAGACUUACAACCCUCCAGCUGUGCAGCUGAGCAGGAACCUUACAAUCUCCAUCCUUAGAGAAGUUUCAGAAAUACAGACAAACGGGGUGAAAACUCACAGAUGCUGAGCCUGAUAUAUACAAAAGCCUUCAGAUAGUCUCCUCACAGAAGAGCCCAAUUAAGUCCACAUAAUUAGUUCAAACAUCUAGAUUAGGUAUAGGUAAAACGAGCCCUUUCUCAGUCUACCAAAACAGAGCAAAAGAUUGACAUAAUACUCUAAAAGAUUAUUGUUCUAAUAACAGUAUUAUAAAGCAGUUUCACCCAUAUUUAUUUUGAUCAGUAUAAAAGUAGGAGUGUAGAAAAUAAAGCUUUGUUUAUAUUUUUAAAAAUUGAUUAAGAAGCUCUGAUGAAACCUAUUGGAGGGGUGAUUGCUGUGCUGAAGUAUAGAGAGGGUGUGGCAAUUGUAAAAUUAUAGCAUUACCAUUUUCUGCUUCUGUGCUAUUGCCUUAGCUCUGAGAGUGACUGGUUUCUAUCAGAUUGUUAGAAUACGUCCAAUAAAUUUAGAGACAGUCUAAGUGACUGUGAAAUGCCUCAAGGGCAAUAGAAAUCAAAUAGAAACACAU